rnacentral:rRNA from 1 species
AACAAACGCUGGCGGCGUGCCUAACACAUGCAAGUCGUACGAGAAAGUUCGCUUCGGUGAAUGAGUAAAGUGGCGCACGGGUGAGUAACGCGUGGAUAAUCUGCCCUUUAGCCGGGAAUAACCCAUCGAAAGGUGUGCUAAUACCCGAUAAUACUGUGAGACUGCGGUUGAACAGUCAAAGAGAGCCUCUGUUUACAAGCCCUCACUAUAGGAUGAGUCCGCGUACCAUUAGCUAGUUGGUCGGGUAAUGGCCUACCAAGGCGACGAUGGAUAGCUGGUCUGAGAGGAUGAUCAGCCACACUGGAACUGAGACACGGUCCAGACUCCUACGGGAGGCUG